ACAGCAUGAUGCUAAUGUGUAAAUGUUCUCUUUGUCUUGUAUGAGUUUCAAUUUGUAUCAAGGGGAUCUAGACACAUUUUAUGGCUAGUUUAACUUAAUCAAAACUAACUGUUCAAUUGCUUGGAUCUUAAUUGGCUGCCUGGAGGACUGCUUUUGAUUUUAUAAGCUUUUUUAGAUCUUUAAAAUAAAGUAGGUUUGGAGUGUUAUUGAAUCAGGCACAAUAAA